UCGCACUAGUCGGGGAGAUAGCGGUGUCCUGUACCUGCAAUCCGCUAUAGCAGGGAUGAAUUCCCACACCCGGACGCGUUUUGAAUAUGAAUUCCUGUGUAAGCGGUGUUGACAGAACGGUCUUGCGCAACGGAGACCCGUGAACCAUGUCAGGUGGGGAACCAAGCAGCAUUCAGCGGAUUUCUCCGUGUGCCGCGGGGCUGCCGUUCUUGAGCUGGCUGCACUGGAACUGCGUAUUCGCCGCGUACAAAUGUGGGUGUGCGA
rnacentral:SRP_RNA from 1 species